CAACAAUGUGGAGCCCCCAGGAGCUCCACUGCAGCCCCAGCACUGUGUCUGGCUCUGUGGUCCUAUCAUAAAUGUGUGAGGGCUGAUGCUGGGAACGCUCAUGCUGGACAGUUAGAGAGCAAGAAAGCGAUGGCAGGCUGGAGAUAAAGCUGCACACAGACCCACACAUUCCUGUCUAGUUUGGUGGAACCACUUAAGGCAGGCUGCUAUAAUGUGCAGGAAUCUGCCUACUCUGUGAAAAUGAGGUGAUGCCUUCAUCACGGCCAGGAGCCAGCUUGAAAAUUAUUGUCUCUAUUUUCCCAGGAUGUCCAAGCCCAGGCACACACCUUUGCAGGAUCUGUUAUCUCUCUGUGCCCCAACUUCUGCAGCUGUUAUAUAUCCCAUGAGUAUGACUUAAAGAGAGACUAUUCACAAGCUGUUCAAGUGUUCACCUUCUUUUUCCUUUGAGUGUUG
rnacentral:lncRNA from 1 species